rnacentral:rRNA from 1 species
AACGUAGGUGGCAAGCGUUGUCCGGAAUUAUUGGGCGUAAAGCGCGCGCAGGCGGUCCUUUAAGUCUGAUGUGAAAGCCCACGGCUCAACCGUGGAGGGUCAUUGGAAACUGGGGACUUGAGUACAGAAGAGAAGAGUGGAAUUCCACAGUGUAGCGGUGAAAUGCGUAGAGAUGUGGAGGAACACCAGUGGCGAAGGCGGAUCUCUGGGCCUGUUCUGACGCUGAGGCGCGAAAGCUAGGGAGCGAACAGG